AUAUUACUUUACAUACAUUGUGUUAUAUAUUGUAGCAUUGUGUACAUAAUUUACAUUAUACACACACACUACUUUAUAUGUAUAUUUCUUUAUGCUUAUAUGUAAGAGCUGUACUGUAACAUUACAAUUUCAGAUUUUCUUCUCAAACGUAUAUGAUUCGUAUAUACAUCACACCUCCAUACUGUCCAACCACAGCAGUUCAAACUCCAAUAAAACGGCACAAAACUCUCAGGAUGUUGUUUUUUUUUUUCUUUUUUUCUUCCAGAGCAGUGUCACCCAAACUCCACCCAGAGCGACAGCCAUUCAAUAGAAAAGCCUUCUACUUUCAAUGGUCUGAGCUCAGAACCAAUCACAGCUACCCCUGCCCCCCCUCGGCUCCCAGGCUUUCAGCCAAUCGCGGCAGACCCCGCUCCACACAUGACUCUAUGCGCUGCUGUCCAUCAACUGCCUCAUAUAUAGUGCAUGCAUGAAAAUGUGGAGCAGUUCAAUAACUUGCGUCGUAGACAGGCUCUUGUGUGUGCGUGUGUGUGUGUGUGUGUGAGGAGGGGGGUUGCAUGCAUGUGGGAAUGCAUGUGCUUGUUUACCUAUGUAGAAGCACAGAAGGAGAGAGAGAGGGAGGGCGAGAGAGAGAUUUGUAAGGCACUUGUAUUUGCUAACUACUGGCUGAGUUCCCACUAGAGGCAGGGAGAUCAGACUGAAAGACUGUGUGUCAGGAGUGAGACAGAGACAGACAACAGACAGAGAGGAACCGCUCAGCACCAACUUUUCAGCCCGUCUACAUGAGGUUUCUCCCUGAAUAUGGAGGCUCGUGGUUUUUAUUUUUUUUCAACCAUCCAGUCACCACAGAUCCACACCGCCGAACUUUUGGCCACGCUUUAGGCUGAAGGUGAAAGAAGAACACAGGCUCGGCGGAGACAGAUGAGAGUUUGCUUAGUAGUUUUUGAAGAAGGUGAGGAGGAUGACAACGGCGGCGGCGGCGUUCAACACGUCUGCAGGACUAUUUAAGAAAACCGAAACCUUUUGCAUCACCGCCUCUCCUCACUCCCGCUGGCUUCUCAUCAACGUUAUUUGAAGCUCCACGCCGACAUGGGUGGUAACACGCCUUGGCACGGUGCUGCUCCGCACAGGCCAAGAGAAACACGGGAGCGCACACACACACACACACACACACGCAGCUAUAUCUAGCUCGUCUUUCUUGGUGACAGUUAGCAUUACAAAGUUAGCGUUUUUCCAUUGUUUGAAUCGUUGUGUUAACAGCUAUGGCGGACAUAUAAAACACUGACAGGUCUGACAUCAUAGCAGGCUUAUGAAAAAAAGACAAAAAUACAUGUUUAGAUUUGAAUUGCAGACAUUUUAAAUACAUGUGGUUUGGAUGGGAAUCAGAAAGCGAGGGACAGGCGACUGGGAUUUUCCACUUGUCUCAGUGCAACCACAGCAAAGCAACGAAGCUGGAUGAAAAAUAAAGUGGGUAGCUCGAUUUUUGUUACUAAUAUGUUGCAUUAUGUUGAUUUUCUAUGACAAGUCACACAAACCAGUGGCGAGAAACGCGGCCCUUCCUGGUGCCCACGGUGAACAUUCAACGCUGUCGGUGAGUUUGAGCUCUGACCAAAACCAUCGACCGUUGACUGUACCCUGAGGGACGCCACAGCACACUCACACACACACAUUCACACGAUCCAAUGGAAACCAUACGUUGUGAGCUAUUUCAGUUCUGCUCUCAUGCAGAGCAAAAUGCAGAACCACAGUCUGUGGGUGGACUACGGCUCGAGCCUGCGACCUUCAGUUGGCUGGAAUUUCGCAUUUCCUCAGACACAAGAUCAGCUGUGACGCAGGAGGCGUUCACUCUUAAGGCUGCAAUAAACAUUCAUUGCUGUCGGUGGGUUUACAUGAGAACAACUCACUGAUCAAUGAAUGCAGACUGCGGUUCAAACACCUCAGUAACCAGUUGGCCGUGGCGUUCGACGAGAGCAAUGUGUGAUGAUGCAUUAUGUACCCAAAGACUUGAUACGACAUGCUAAAGCUAAUGUGAUUAAUUAGGUUAAAAAGUAUGUUUUUCAUGGUCACUGGCCUCGGCUGGUAAGUACAAGCAUAUGUGCAGCAGAUGUGACUGUAGCAUUCAAGAUCAGAUGUCGUUCCAGCAUUUACAGUUUUGCUUUGGUUUUAAAGGGUCAGUUCAUCCAAAUAAGAUUAAAAAACAUAUUUUCUCACUUAACAUUAGUGCUAUCUAGAAAUGUGGUUAGUUUUGGUUUUAUUCGUCCAGGUUUCAAGAUAUUUGGUUCCGAGGGUUCAAAUGUAAUGAAUUAAUGUAAUGUAAUUUCAUUUGUGGUGCUUCACACCAAAUUUGGAUAUUUGAUAAAUUCAAUGGCUACAUCAUAGGGCUGUCAAUCGAUUAAAAUAUAUAAUCAUGAAUAAUCGCAUGAUGGUCCUUAGUUAAUCGCGAUUAAUCGCAAAUAAAUCACACAUUUUUUUAUCUGUUCAAAAUGAACCUUGAAGGGAGAUUUGUCAAGUGUUACAUUUAAUGACUAGACACCACUAGUGGUAAGUGAUAAAAUAUGUAUAUUUUGUAGUUUGGGUACAGGUUUUCCGUCAGAAAAAAAUGGUGCUGGUCCACGUGUCCUAGAAGAUUCCAAUGUCCCAGACAAAAGGGAGAAACUCCGGUCAAGUAUUAUCCUUGUUUAUUGAGUUUCAAAACAAUUGAUAGGUAAAGAGAGAUAGGGACAGAGAGAGAGAAAGCGCUUGUGUGAUGGUGAGUAGCACGUAGGCAGUAACGUUGUAGCUGUGAAUGUAGCAGUGCAGUGUGUGUACAGUUUAUAUGUCGGCCAAUAAAUGCUACAACUCCUCAAGAUCCAAGCCAAGUUCCUGUGUCUUGCUUUUCUUGCCCCAAAGUUAGCGACAACUUCGACCCUGGCUCACUUUAGGUGGACUGACCUUGAAGUAGAAACCAAUGGCUGCCUGAAAUGUGGUACAAGACCAGUUUAAAAAUCUAAAAGACUACGGUACUACGCUUUAGAGGAGUCAGCAGUAAUGUAAAAAGCUGGAUAUGUUUGACAUUUUUCAAGUUGCUAGUGCUGAUAUGACACUUUAAUUUUGGUACCAAUCUCAAAAUGAUACUUUGUUUGAUACAUUUUGAGAAACAGAAAUGUGUUUUUCUACAAACCCUUUUUUUCAUUUGACAAAAUGAAAUUUUAAAUGUCUAAAAACAAACACCCUUAGAUGAAGUUUGCCUAAAUAAAAUAGCAUAAAACAAAAACAAGUAAACAAGAAGACAAAUCUGACAGUCAAUGCCAACUUUCACUUCUUGACCAUUUUUGAUAUUCGGUGCUACAGGCACAUUUCAGAUGGUACAAAAAAAGUUACAAUUUGGUACCAAGCCCUAAAUGUAAUGUAUGUUACUGCGUAGUCAAUGGGAUAAACAUCAGUGGCCCAACAAAGCCUCCUAGAAUGCAUUGUUCUCAUUAGACAGAUGUAGAUAAGAUACUUAGACAUCAACACACAUUAGUUUAUAGUAUUUUUUUGUAUUAUCUUUUGAAAUAAGGAUUUGAAUAUCUUUAUAUCAAUUCGACAAAAGUAUUGAAAAUUAUGAUUAGCAUAAUAUCCAUAAUAUAUGGAUUGUCACCGCAUUAUUCUGUGGACUGUAGCCUCGGUGUAGGCAUUUCAGCUGACAGUCUGAUCCAAAGCACACAGGUAGGGGGUUCAGCAUGUCGCCUAAAGCCGGCUUCCCACCAUGACCCAAAUGUUAAAUUCCAUGACUUUUCUCUGAUUUGCCAUUACCAAGUGCGACCGCUUCCAUAACCUCAAAACUGUAUUCAUUUCUGGUUUUUAACUGCUGUCUGCUUUUCCACUUCACUUGAGCUGAAAAUCAACUACUGCUAAAUAUGUGUGAAACAAGCUGGAAAAUCCUAUUGGAUAUGUUCUAUGAAGCUACUGUUCUUUGUACAGUCUGAUAUCCUCACAAACUUUGCGUGUCUACGGCACAUCUCCGAACUGCAUAAUAUUCCAGGAAUUCGAAGGCCCGAGGGAACUCUGUCAAGGGCACUUUUAAAGACAGACAGACUGCUGUGGGGGGUGGUACCUGGGACUUUUGUAAUUACAAGACAGUCACCCAAAUCUACAGUAUAAGUCAAAUGUAACAGAAAGAGGUGAAACUGAGAAACCUGUUUAAUUCUGCUCCGGUUCAAAUCAACCCACUCUAAUAUAUAUAUAUUUUAUAAAGAGUGAAACAAUCUGUGCCCACGAUUCUUGGAAAGUUAAUCAGCCUCGUAACCCCAUUUCAGUAUGUAAUUGGAGGAGAUAUAGGCAUGUGGAAAUAAUCUUGCAGUAAUUGCCCUGUAAGGUUAUGUUAACAUGCUGGGAAAUCUCAAACACAUUGACGUUUUCCAGCCAGAGCAGACCGAAAACGCAUGUCUUUUUACAGUGGAAAAGUGUCGGAGGGGACAAUGAGAAGCAGUCCGGGUCGCUUCUUGUCUUUCAGCUGUCUAAUAAAGAGGAAACCAACACUUUUUCACCACACUCACAUACACAGAUUGUGCUGGUCAUAAAGACAGAAAUUCUAAAAGGGGUCUAUUAUACUAAUAGGUACUGUGCAUUUAAAUAAAAGCAUUACUUUGAUAUCAUCUUUGAUUGUAAAACUGCACAUACGCUAGUACUAACCAAUUGAAGGCAAAUGUAGAAACCAAUAUAUAUAUGGGCAUAAAUUUAAAUUUUUGCUUUUUUAAAUAAAUUCUCUUAUUUGACGUUUCUCUCAGAACUAUAUUCUCGUCAAAACCUCUCUAAAACAACCCAAAACUCUAAAAAUAAAGCUCCUUGAAGUCUGCAGAUUUUUAAAGUUCUGGGAAAUUGUGAUACAUCGCUGACUUUAAAGAGGUAUUAAUCUACAAAUAAACAUGCAAAUGAAUUUAUAAAAUGUCAGAGUAAAGCAUAAUAUCUACAGAGGCCUGUAUGGGGCGGAUGGAUACUGUUUGCUACAUAUAUUAGGGCCACACAAAAGUCUGCUUGUUUAUCCCUGUGGAGUUGGGCUUUGUCAUCACACACUGUGAAGUUAUAGGCACUGACACUGGGAACAGCGUGACCCACUUCUCCCUGACCUGGAAACACUCCGCAGGCUGACCCUGAGUCUAACGCCAAUGCGAGUUGCAUCAAGCGAGAAAGAAAAAAAAAAA